CCCGGAGCUGCCCGAGCCGGACCGGGCCGGGCCGGGGCCGCCGCACAGCGCAGCGAGGAGCUCUCCCCGCUAAGUGCCAUUUGCGUUUGGCUGCCUCGCACCGCCCGUCUCUCUUCUCUUCUUUCCUUCCCCCCUUCCUCCCCCUUUUGUCUCUCUUCUAUUUCUCUUUUUGCCCUCUUUCCCCCAUUCUCCCCCCCCCCCUUUUUUUCCCUCCGCAUCCCAUCUCUCAUAGUUCUGGGUCCAGCAGCUCUCGCCGAUCCGAAGUUGUUUUGCUCCGACAAGCACCUAGAGGUUAAUUUCUUGAAGUGCCCCAUGAAAAGCGAUUAGCCUGGCUCCCGAGAAGUAUUUUCUAAUUACGUGCAAGCCCUCGCUCUGCUGCUACCCCAUAAUUAAACCUCUUCAAGGUGCUGCACUUCAAAUAUUUCGCUCCCGGGGCCGCUGCCAGGAGCCGAGAGCUCCGGCCCCCCGCACCCCCCACACCCCAAAACCCCAUCGCAGAGACACGCAACAAAUCACUGCGUCUCUCUCCCCCGGCAGUCACCACGCGCGGGGCAGCACCUCAGGGUUCCAGCACCGCUUUUUCUCGCCGGGCUGCGGGAUCUCCGCCAGCGGCUGCCCGGCGCGCAGGGCUUUAUCCUGGGGAGAAAAUCACUGCGGGGCACUGGGAGAGGCGCUUUAAGAACAGGGGUUGGGGCCGCCCGUUCCCGGUCCCCGUUCUCCUCGCAGUUCAACCCCGUAUAUUCUAACGGGGCUCACGUAGGGGUCACCCCUUUAAAGAAAUCCUUUUCUUCCCUUCCUGCUCCCCGUUUCCUCCCUCUGACAUCCGGUGUUGGGGGCUGAGGGCUGAGGACAGGGCACAGCGCGCCGCCUCCCGUCCCCUCGGCCGCCCGAGGUCCCCACUGAAAUUCGGGGUGGGCGAAGCGACCGCAGCCCCCUCGGAACCCCGGCAGCUUUCCUGGGAGCGGCGGCGGCGGGCAGAGCCCGGCCUCUCGGCUGCCCUUCCCCUCCGCAGCCGGGUUUUCACCGUAUUAUCGACAAUUAAAAAUAGAUUUUUAUUAUUAUUGUUGUUGAAAAUCACCACAUCUGUCAGGUUGCUCCCGUGCCAGGCGCGAUGCGACACAUCCAGAGCGACUGGUGCUUCCGAGCAGGGCCGGGCCGGGUUGUCGGUGGCAUCUCCCCAGCAGCGUUACAGAGAUUUUCCCAUGGCCGCGGGUAAGGGCUCGGCUGCCGCUGACUCGCGGGACGCCGCCGGCUUUAUCCCAGCCGUUCCCCGGGGAGCGAACGAAUGAGGCCCGGUGGCAGCGUCCCGGCUCGGGAUGGGGCCGACGGGCACCGCCGCGAUUCCACCCACGGGCGGGGGACGGACCCCCCCCGGGGCGGAGGAGCGGGAGGGGAG
ensembl:lncRNA